rnacentral:rRNA from 1 species
AACAGGAUUAGAUACCCUGGCAGUCCAUGCCGUAAACGAUGAGUGCUUAGUGUUAGGGGGUUUCCGCCCCUUAGUGCUGCAGCUAACGCAUUAAGCACUCCGCCUGGGGAGUACGGUCGCAAGACUGAAACUCAAAGGAAUUGACGGGGGCCCGCACAAGCGGUGGAGCAUGUGGUUUAAUUCGAAGCAACGCGAAGAACCUUACCAGGUCUUGACAUCCUCUGACAAUCCUAGAGAUAGGACGUCCCCUCCGGGGGCAGAGUGACAGGUGGUGCAUGGUUGUCGUCAGCUCGUGUCGUGAGAUGUUGGGUUAAGUCCCGCAACGAGCGCAACCCUUGAUCUUAGUUGCCAGCAUUCAGUUGGGCACUCUAAGGUGACUGCCGGUGACAAACCGGAGGAAGGUGGGGAUGACGUCAAAUCAUCAUGCCCCUUAUGACCUGGGCUACACACGUGCUACAAUGGACAGAACAAAGGGCAGCGAAACCGCGAGGUUAAGCCAAUCCCACAAAUCUGUUCUCAGUUCGGAUCGCAGUCUGCAACUCGACUGCGUGAAGCUGGAAUCGCUAGUAAUCGCGGGUCAGCAUGCCGCGGUGAAUACGUUCCCGGGCCUUGUACACACCGCCCGUCACACCACGAGAGUUUGUAACACCCGAAGUCGGUGAGGUAACCUUUUAGGAGCCAGCCGCCGAAGGUGGGACUGAUGAUUGGGGUGAAGUCGUAACAAGGUAACC